GAUGAACGCUGGCGGCGUGCCUAAUACAUGCAAGUCGAGCGAACAGACGAGGAGCUUGCUCCUCUGACAAUAGCGGCGGACGGGUGAGUACCACGUGGAUAACCUACCUAUAAGACUGGGAGAACUUCGGGAAACCGGAGCUAAUACCGGAUAAUAUAUUUAACCGCAUGGUUCCAUAGUGAAAGACGGGUUUGCUGUCACUUAUAGAUUGAUCCGCGCCGCAUUAGCUAGUUGGUAAGGUAACGGCUUACCAAGGCAACGAUGCGUAGCCGACCUGAGAGUGUGCUUCGCCACACUGGAGCUGAGACACGGUCCAGACUCCUACGGGAGGCAGCACUAGGGACUCUUCCGCCAGGGGCGCCAGCCUGACGGCGAAAGCCCGCGUGAGUGACUCAGGUCUGUGGGUGGUCAGACUAUGUUAUUAGGGACGGACAACUGUGUAAGGAACUAUGCACCUAUUGACGGUACCCAAUCAGAAAGCCACGGCUAACUACGUG
rnacentral:rRNA from 1 species